AGACCCGAAACCCGGUGAUCUAGCCAUGGGCAGGUUGAAGGUUGGGUAACACUAACUGGAGGACCGAACCGACUAAUGUUGAAAAAUUAGCGGAUGACCUGUGGCUGGGGGUGAAAGGCCAAUCAAACCGGGAGAUAGCUGGUUCUCCCCGAAAGCUAUUUAGGUAGCGCCUCGUGAAUUCAUCUCCGGGGGUAGAGCACUGUUUCGGCUAGGGGGCCAUCCCGGCUUACCAACCCGAUGCAAACUGCGAAUACCGGAGAAUGUUAUCACGGGAGACACACGGCGGGUGCUAACGUCCGUCGUGAAGAGGGAAACAACCCAGACCGCCAGCUAAGGUCCCAAAGUCAUGGUUAAGUGGGAAACGAUGUGGGAAGGCCCAGACAGCCAGGAUGUUGGCUUAGAAGCAGCCAUCAUUUAAAGAAAGCGUAAUAGCUCACUGGUCGAGUCGGCCUGCGCGGAAGAUGUAACGGGGCUAAACCAUGCACCGAAGCUGCGGCAGCGACACUGUGUGUUGUUGGGUAGGGGAGCGUUCUGUAAGCCUGUGAAGGUGUGUCGUGAGGCAUGCUGGAGGUAUCAGAAGUGCGAAUGCUGACAUAAGUAACGAUAAAGCGGGUGAAAAGCCCGCUCGCCGGAAGACCAAGGGUUCCUGUCCAACGUUAAUCGGGGCAGGGUGAGUCGACCCCUAAGGCGAGGCCGAAAGGCGUAGUCGAUGGGAAACGGGUUAAUAUUCCCGUACUUGGUGUUACUGCGAAGGGGGGA
rnacentral:rRNA from 1 species